GGAAAAAGAACAAGAAAUUCUUCUGGGUGCCUGCAAUUGCACCACUGAUAUCUGUUAUUCUGUCGACCUUUUUUGUGUUCAUAACCCGUGCAGAUAAGCAUGGGGUUCAGAUUGUGAAACACAUAGAAAAAGGAAUAAAUCCCUCCUCCGUGAAGGAAAUAUAUUUCAGUGGUGAAUUUCUUCUGAAAGGUUUUAGGAUUGGUGUUGUGGCUGGAAUGAUAGGAUUAACGGUGAGAUAGCUUUGGAAUCCAUCUUCUCUAAUACAUCAAUAGAAUUUUAUGAUCAAUUCUUAAACUAUACUAUUUUUUUUCAUCUUUUUAUUGUUUCAAUAAUGGGUUUGUCA
rnacentral:misc_RNA from 1 species